UACAGAGGGGGCGAGCGUUAUUCGGAAUUAUUGGGCGUAAAGGGCGCGUAGGCGGCUUUUCAAGUGACGGGUGAAAUCCCUCGGCUUAACCGAGGAACUGCCUGUCAGACUGGAAGGCUUGAGACCGGGAGAGGUGAGUGGAAUUCCCAGUGUAGCGGUGAAAUGCGCAGAUAUCAGGAGGAACACCAAUUGCGAAGGCAGCUCGCUGGGACGUUACUGACGCUGAGACGCGAAAGCGUGGGGAGCAAACAGG
rnacentral:rRNA from 1 species